rnacentral:rRNA from 1 species
AGAGUUUGAUCCUGGCUCAGGAUGAACGCUGGCGGCGUGCUUAACACAUGCAAGUCGAACGAACCUUCGGGUUAGUGGCGGACGGGUGAGUAACGCGUGGGAAACUGCCCUCAGGAGGGGGAUAACGGCUGGAAACGGCCGCUAAUACCCCAUAUGCCGAGAGGUGAAAGGAAAUUCGCCUGAGGAUGAGCCCGCGUCUGAUUAGCUAGUUGGUGGGGUAAGAGCUUACCAAGGCGACGAUCAGUAGCUGGUCUGAGAGGAUGAUCAGCCACACUGGGACUGAGACACGGCCCAGACUCCUACGGGAGGCAGCAGUGGGGAAUUUUCCGCAAUGGGCGAAAGCCUGACGGAGCAACGCCGCGUGAGGGAUGAAGGCCUCUGGGCUGUAAACCUCUUUUCUCAAGGAAGAAGACAUGACGGUACUUGAGGAAUAAGCCACGGCUAAUUCCGUGCCAGCAGCCGCGGUAAUACGGGAGUGGCAAGCGUUAUCCGGAAUUAUUGGGCGUAAAGCGUCCGCAGGCGGCCCUGUAAGUCUGUCGUUAAAGCGUGGAGCUUAACUCCAUUUAAGCGAUGGAAACUACAGGGCUUGAGUGUGGUAGGGGCAGAGGGAAUUCCCGGUGUAGCGGUGAAAUGCGUAGAUAUCGGGAAGAACACCAGUGGCGAAGGCGCUCUGCUGGGCCAUAACUGACGCUCAUGGACGAAAGCCAGGGGAGCGAAAGGGAUUAGAUACCCCUGUAGUCCUGGCCGUAAACGAUGAACACUAGGUGUCGGGGGAAUCGACCCCCUCGGUGUCGUAGCCAACGCGUUAAGUGUUCCGCCUGGGGAGUACGCACGCAAGUGUGAAACUCAAAGGAAUUGACGGGGGCCCGCACAAGCGGUGGAGUAUGUGGUUUAACUCGAUGCAACGCGAAGAACCUUACCAGGGUUUGACAUCCUGCGAAUCCCUUGGAAACGAGGGAGUGCCUUCGGGAGCGCAGAGACAGGUGGUGCAUGGCUGUCGUCAGCUCGUGUCGUGACAUGUUGGGUUAAGUCCCGCAACGAGCGCAACCCACGUCUUUAGUUGCCAGCAUUCAGUUGGGCACUCUAGAGAGACCGCCGGUGAUAAACCGGAGGAAGGUGUGGAUGACGUCAAGUCAUCAUGCCCCUUACAUCCUGGGCUACACACGUACUACAAUGCUACGGACAAAGGGCAGCAAGCUCGCGAGAGUUAGCAAAUCCCAUAAACCGUGGCUCAGUUCAGAUCGUAGGCUGCAACUCGCCUACGUGAAGGAGGAAUCGCUAGUAAUCGCAGGUCAGCAUACUGCGGUGAAUACGUUCCCGGGCCUUGUACACACCGCCCGUCACACCAUGGAAGUUGGCCAUGCCCGAAGUCGUUACUCCAACCCU